rnacentral:rRNA from 1 species
CCUACGGGUGGCAGCAGUGAGGAAUAUUGGUCAAUGGGCGCAAGCCUGAACCAGCCAAGUCGCGUGAAGGAAGACGGUCCUAUGGAUUGUAAACCGCUUUUAGCGGGGAGCAAAAGACGCCCCGCGUGGCUUUCCGAGAGUACCCGAAGAAAAAGCAGAGGCAAACUCCGGGCCAGCAGCCGCGGUGAUACGGAGGAUGCGCGCGUUAUCCGGAUUUAUUGGGUUUAAAGGGUGCGCAGGCGGAAUAUCAAGACAUUGGUAAAAUUGAGAGGCUCAACCUCUUCGAGCCGUUGAAACUGGUUGUCUUGAGUGAGCGAGAAGUAUGCGGAAUGCGUGGUGUAGCGGUGAAAUGCAUAGAUAUCACGCAGAACGCCGAUUGCGAAGGCAGCAUACCGGCGCUCAACUGACGCUGAUGCACGAAAGUGUGGGUAUCGAACAGGAUUAGAUACCCCGGUAGUC